GGUGGACUCACCGAAUUAAGAUCCUUGUGAGUAUGAUUUGUCCUCUUUUUACCAGCAUUGUAUUUGCAGAAUACCGCCAAUUUGAAGUGAGUUUAAAAAUAUGUGAGGCAUACACUUGAAACAUAUUUCUUUUGCAUUGUCAAUUAUUUUGAUAUCUUAAUGUUUGAUUAUUGAGGCUGAAACACUCACACUGUGCAGGGACCUUUCCUUCAACCCUGGCCUCACAGGUCCUCUCUUUCCAAGAUUAGGGAAUCUGAAAAAUUUAAGUAUCCUGUAAGAACAAAUGAGCAAGCAAUUUUCAUAUUUCCAAUUUGAGCAUUGUAUAUGCAAAAUGCAACAUACAUUUUUUAUUAUAUAUAUAUAUAUAUAUUGAAUGAGAACUCAUGACACUUUUCAUCUUUUAGGAUCCUAGCUGGUUGCAGCUUCAAUGGUGAAAUUCCAGAUGAAUUAGGCAAUCUUGCAGAGCUAUCCUUCUUGUAAGAAAAUAUUAGUAAUCAUGCUUUUAGUGCAUCAAGUCAAUAUGAUUUUUUCAUUUUCCCAACUUUAUGUAAAUCUUUGGUCCUUCUCAGGGCUCUGAAUUCAAAUAACUUUUCGGGUGCCAUACCUCCUUCUUUGGGCAAACUCCCCAAACUCUACUGGCUGGACCUGGCAGACAAUCAGUUGACAGGAACAAUUCCAAUUUCGACCUACCAUUCCCCUGGCUUAGACCUCCUGUUGAAGGCUAAACACUUGUGAGCAAUUAUCCGUAUCCCAACUCUUCUCCAUUGUGAAAAAGUAAAAUUUUGAUAGGGAUUAUGCCACUGUAUAUUGCAUAAGCACUAAAAUGAUUUUAUGAACAUGCAGCCAUUUGAACAAGAACCAGCUUUCAGGUAUCAUACCUUCCAAACUUUUCAGCUCUAAGAUGGCACUGAUACACUUGUAAGUUGAUCCCAUCAACUAGUUUAUGUUCUCUAUUUUUAUUUGGUCUAACUGAUUUUCGUUCUUCGCUUGCAGGUUGCUUGAUGGAAAUAGGUUUACUGGUACUAUCCCAGUAACAUUAGGACUUAUUAAGACUCUUGAGGUUCUGUAAGUAAAACCAAAUCUUGAAUUUCUUUGUUUUAUUUUCCACUUCUAUAUAUAUGCUUCUUGACAACACUUGGCCUCAAGACAAUCCUGUUUGCAACAGUCGGCUUGAUACAAAUGCUCUGGCUGGAAGUGUCCCCUCAGAUCUUAACAACCUUACGAAUGUCAACGAAUUGUGAGUAUCAAUUUUACUGUUCUAUUUAACCAUCAUCUUGUUGGUUGUUAAUCCGAUUUUUCUUGGUUUAUAUAUUCUCUUCCAGAAAUUUGGCCCACAACUACUUGUCAGGCCCUCUACCUGACUUAAGUGGAAUGAAUUCCCUCAAUUAUGUGUGAGUAUAUCAUUUCUAGAGUUUCAAUAUUCCUGCAAAUUGUUUGUUUUUCUGUUGUACUGACAAAUCCUAAUGUUUCUCUCAGAGACCUUAGCAACAACUCAUUUGACCCAUCAGAAGCUCCACUUUGGUUCUCAACCUUACCCUCACUCACCACUUUGUAAGUUCUCAGGAGGUUGUAUAAAAGUCUUUGUAUCUCUUCACAAGUCUAAGAAAAGGAAACUUUGAAAACUUUAUUUGAAAUCCUUUGUUAAACUUCUCUCCUUUUAUGGCACACAGGACCAUGGAAUUUGGAUCACUUCAAGGGGUUGUGCCAGAGAAGCUUUUCAGCCUUCCAAAUUUACAACUAGUGUAAGUUCCAGGGAGAACACUCAAGAAUAUAUGCAUCAAAGUUUUCACUGUAAAUUUAUGAAACUGAUCAUUUCUUUUAAACUCUUGAUAGGAAGCUCAAAUACAAUGCGUUUAAUGAUACGUUGAACAUGGGCGAUAGCAUCAACCCACAACUGCAGCUUGUUGAUCUGCAGAACAAUCAGAUUUCCAGAAUAAGUCUGGGUUAUGAAUACAAAAAUACAUUAAUGUGAGACAGUUGAUGGGCCUUGAUCUUGAUUUCCUAUGAUAAUUGUGUAUUUUCCCCUCACCAUCACUCUUGGUUGUCACUUUUACAUGUUGCAGACUUUUCGGGAACCCGGUUUGCAGCAGCAGUUCUGGUGCAUCAAAUGCUACUUUCUGUCAGCCUCCUCGUCAAACUACAAAAUCGUAAAUGGUCAAGAUGAGAGCUUUUGGCCAACUUGUGGAAAAUGGUGCAAAAGUGGGGAUGCCUGUGUAGCUUCAUCUAAGUUCUUCCAAUCCAAGUCAAGUCAAUAUUGUAAAAAUGGAGAAUCAUUCUCUCUCCUUGAUAUCCCAUUUGUUCUUUCUUUACAUGUGAUCAGAUUUUAAUUGGUGAAGCUUCUUCUAUCAAACAAGCCAAUGUCAUGAAAUCGUGCUUUGAAAAGUUCCGCAUGCAAACGCCUCAGCCCAACUGGCUAACUUUUAAAAAGUCAAGAUUUCUUGUUCCCAUUAGGCCAUAGAGUCUUGUGGCCCCACCGGUGUAUGUUGUUUACUUUGACACAUUCUCUCUGAUAGUCUGCCUUUCGUCUUCAACGCCAUGAAUGAAGCGUGAACCCUCAAGAAACGAAACCAACCCACAUGCAAAUAUGUCCUGAUCAUACAUGCGCAUUGUAAAAUAUGUCAACUCUAAAUCCCCACCAACAGUAGCGACAGCCACAUUAAAUCCAUUAAUCUUUUAUUUUUUAAUAUAUAUUUUUUAAAUAUGUCAUCUUCGGCCUUUCAUGUUGUAUAGAUGUUAUCUGAAAAUGCCUCGAUACAACUUAAGGAGAUACCCAAUUGAAUUGUUUCAUAGGAUUCAUAACAUUCUAUUAGCUUUGGGAUUGCCCUCUCAACGUAAUUAGGUCAAACUCACUAUUGAAGGCACUAGGAAAGGAAGGAUACUGAAUUCAGCAAUUGGAAUUGGAGAAGCUGUAAGAUAUCAUAAUUAUUGUUCAUGGUUGGUUUUGCUACUGUAAUUUUAGGUGUGCCAGAUGUAGGCCAAGCUACGUUUGCUUUGGGAUACAAAGGAUUCUUUUCCAUCCGAAUUGAAGUAGAAUUUGUCCCAAUGUGUCCCCUAAGAAGGGGACAAUCUAACACAAAAUCUCGGAUUUAAAUGCUUUUAAUCAAUUGAGUUGUUGAAUAUUAAGUCUUUGAUUGAUAUAGCUCACAUUUUUUAUGGAUUUGGUAAAACUUCAAUUGAAAUUUUUAUUGGUAUGGCUAGACGGCAAUUUGUGGUUUGUUUUCUUAUUAACCUUUGACCCCUUAGCACAAAAACUAUACUUUAUCUUUUGUAGAAUAAACUUAGUUGUAUUUAGAAACAGUCGUACCAUAGAAGUUGACUGUUCGAAUUAUAUUUUUGUUUUGUGAAAACAAUCAUCAUGUAGAUCUCAUCUUAAAUCAAAUGCUUGAAUACCAAGUAAAACAAAGGAAAAGACCCUACCUACCACCAUAAAAAAUGGCCUCACCUGCCACCACCUAGUGAGGCAAAACAUUGAGUUACAAAGGUCUUGUCUUUAUCCAUUUCUUACGAAAAUGAAAAUCUUUUCAUCCAUUCAACACGAAAGUGGAUCAAACCAUGAAUUGGUCCCGGCCACGCCCCCGAGAGCCUUGAUUUUCAUGUCAGCUUGUGGGACCCAUUUUCACCUAAAGCCAACUGUACGCAUUGAAUGACCUAGUUAAAUUAUAUCAAUGCAAGUUGGAACUUAAUUAAUUAAUUAAAAUUUGAUUAAAAAGUGGAGACUCUAGGCGUAUAUUCAGAAUUGUGUAGCUUUGUCCCCAUUCGAAAGAUGCUAGCUUUGCUCAUGAGAGAGUUGUUUCUGCUUAACUGUUGUUUGUAUUAUGUGACUUGUCCUCUGAAAAUGCGCGGGCGGGCGGAGGAAACGGUAAAACCUCCACAUUUUUUUUUUUUUUUUUGCUGCAAUAAGAUGAUUUUGAUAGAGGAAAGAUGAUGAUGUUUUUUUGGACUUUGUGUGAUGAUUUCGGUUGGUGGGUUUUUUUUGCUAGUGGAAGGUGCUUAUUGUUAAGGCCAAAGGUUGGCUUCUAAGACAAGGCUUAAUCAUUUAAAAGAAGCUCAAAGGGGCCAACCCAAAUCUUUUUCUGUUCUCUCUCUCUCUAUCUCUCUAUCUCUCUCUGCGUGCCUGCAAGUAUUUUUUGAAGACAGUUGAAAAAACCCGACUCACCAAAUCAAGCUUUCAAAGCAAAACUUGUUCUGAAUUGGUGGGAACAUGUACAUGCGCAUGUACAUACAUGCAUGCAUGCUGUCAAGGACUCAUUAAAUAAAAAUCUUCAAGUGGUGUAGUUGGUAGAAUGGAAGGAAUUGAAUUGAAGGGUGUGUCUGUGUGGAGGGAAGUCUUUGAAAAGUGCUUUUUUGACCAUCUGGGGUAAAUAGAAAUGUGCUUUUUUUGACCUCUGCUUACUAGCUGAUCAGCCUCACAGAGGCACCAGUUUACUUGAUUUGCUUGCUCCUUCACCACCAUGGCAACCAUGCGGUUGCUGCUCUUUCUGGCUUUCUGCUCUGCUGGGAUUCAUAUGAUCUUUUCUGAAACAGACCCCGGUGAUGGUAUGGUCUCAAAUCUAAAUGUUUAUUUGUCCAUUAUUGAUUUCCUAGUUAAUGGGAAAUUGGGGUUUUGGUAGUUUGAGCUUUGGCCUGGAUAUGCGUUGACUUAGGAAAGACUUUGCAAUAUCAUGUUGAUCCUCCUGUUUCUCAUGUUUUUGCAUGCAAACUUGGUAAUUAGUCAUUUUAGUUGGUGUUUAAUGCAAGCUUUUCUUAAUGUUUUGGCUAAAUUUUGAUUGUAAGUUGAAUAUCCUGCACAUAGGUGUGUACAAACUUUGUGUUAAGGUAGUAGAUUGAUUUGUAAGUCUGUUGGUCCAGCUGCUGUUUUCAUAUCCUUGAAGGGGGCAUGGACGAAUCUUCCACCCAGCUGGAACGACAAGUCAAAUGAUCCCUGUGGAAUGAACUGGGAAGGAGUCACCUGCAACAAUUCGAGGGUGACCGCAUUGUGAGCAUUGUUCAUCUUUGAAUUUUCAUGGGAUCCUUGUAGUUCUGGGCAUUGGUGACUUACUUUCUUACACAAAUUUUCAACCUUGCACUUUUUUAUGUGCAGGGGAUUAUCAGCAAUGGACUUGAAAGGACAAAUUGAAGGCGAUAUCGGGGGACUCUCUGAAUUAAUAUCCUUGUGAGUAUAAUUGCUCCUCUUUGUACCAGCAUUAUGUUUGCAGCACAUUAUGAAUUGAACCCAGAUGCAAUGCAACAGAUUCAGUAUGUAAACAUAUGCAUAAAACAUAUUUCUUUUGCAGUAUCAAUUAUUUUGUUAUCACUCAAUCUUUGAUUAGCAUGGCAUCCUUUUUGUAACGAAGUAGAAACGUUAACAUUGCAGGGACCUUUCAUUCAACAAAGGCCUCACGGGUUCUCUGUCUCCACGAUUAGGAGAUCUGAGCAAGUUAAAUAUCCUGUAAGAACAAAUUAGCAAGCAAUUUUCAUAUUUGCACCUUUUGAACUUUGUAUAUGCAAUAUAAGUUUUUAUAUUGGAUAAGUAUACAAGACUCUUUUCAUCUUUUAGGAUCCUAGCUGGCUGCGGCUUCAGUGGCAAUAUUCCAGAGGAAUUGGGCAAUCUUGGAGAGCUAACUUUCUUGUAAGAAUUGAAUUGAUAAUCAUACUGUUAGUGCAAACCAUUUUAAGUUUUUUCUUUCCCAACUUUAUAUAAAUCUUUUGUUCUUUUCAGGGCUCUGAAUACAAAUAAAUUUACUGGUCAAAUACCUCCUUCUUUGGGUAACCUCUCCAAUCUUCUCUGGUUGGACCUGGUAGACAAUCAGUUGACUGGAACUCUACCAAUUUCAACCCCCGUUACCUCAGGCUUAGACAAACUAUUGAAGGCUGAACACUUGUGAGUAUUUUUCCAUUUCCCAAACUCUCUUCAUUGUGAAAAGAUGAAAUUCUAAUAGGGAUUAUGCCAUUGCUUAUUGCAUAAACAUUAAACUGAUAAUAUGGACAUGCAGCCAUUUCAGCAAGAACCAGCUUUCAGGUACCAUUCAUCCCAAACUUUUCAGCUCUGAGAUGAAACUGAUACACAUGUAAGUUGAUCCCUUCGAUCAUUUUUUUAAUUUAGCCAGAUGCCAUCUAUCAGUUUAUGUUCUGUACUUAUAUUUAUCUAACUGCUUGUCAUUCUUCAACUGCAGUUUGUUUGAUGGAAAUCAAUUUAUUGGGGAGAUUCCAUCAACCAUAGCACUAGUUCAGACUCUUGAGAUUCUGUGAGUACAAAAACAGCUCGAUUUUGUUAUUCUUUCACAUAUAAGUUUCUGCUUCUUGAUACUUAUUGGAUUCAAAACCUUCUUGUUUGCAACAGUCGGCUUGAUAGAAAUGCUCUGACAGGAAAUGUCCCCUCAAAUAUCACCAACCUAACACAUGUCAAUGAACU
rnacentral:lncRNA from 1 species